rnacentral:rRNA from 1 species
UACGUAGGGUGCAAGCGUUGUUCGGAAUCAUUGGGCGUAAAGCGCGUGUAGGUGGCUAGUUAAGUUAGGUGUGAAAUCCCCGGGCUCAACCCAGGAAGUGCACUUAAAACUGGCUGGCUAGAAGAUAGUAGAGGAUGGUGGAAUUCCAAGUGUAGAGGUGAAAUUCGUAGAUAUUUGGAGGAAUACCGGCGGCGAAGGCGGCCAUCUGGGCUAUUCUUGACACUGAGACGCGAAAGCGUGGGUAGCAAACAGG